CCCGUCCCACAAUGCUUCGCUCCCUUGCGCUCCUCCCGCCGUGCUGCCCUCGCUUCCCAGGCACGCAGCGGCCGCUCGCGCCCUCCUACAGCUACGCUACACUCUCGCCAUUCCUCAGCCCAUCGAGUCCACUCCCGAGGCUCAGGGGGCCCCGCGGCAGGCCAGGGCGCCGCGAGGGAGGCCUGAACACAGCGGGGCGCGAGGUGUGAACAGUAUCCUGCGCACCCUCGAUAAUUGGGUAUUUAAAUCACUUGACUACUCCCAUAAUUGUUUAAUGAAAAACGAAUGAGGUUUGGAGUGUUUUAAUGAGUUGGCAUCAACAUAUUAUGAAGCAGAGAGGCAAGGCGUCAUAACCUCUAUCAGCAUGGUAAUCGAAGCAAGUUGGCUGACGAGCGGGUCCAUUUUGAGCCGCGUUCCCUUUCCCUCGCCCCGCUAAUUCUGACUAGAAGGUCGUGACUUGUCUCUCCUUGCCUCGCCUCGCCUCGCCUCGCUUCGGUCCUCAAGCCGAGAUGGUUCCUCUCUAGCCAUCAGCGCACCACUCCGUCACUCCUGUAGGUGUUCCAUGAGCGUUACUGUGGAGCGCAACCUGUGGGCCUCUCUCUCUCCUGAAGAUUCCCACCUCUCUCACCUGACGCCGUCUAUAGGGUACGGGUUCACGCGGUGCACGUCUGUAGCGGAGGAAACCCGACGAGGUAGCGGCCUGGGUGUGCUGUGUGACCAGCGUUCUCACUGUUGAGGCUCUUCACCACUGAAAGUUUAGCGGAUUGGCUGCAUACAAGCCAGUGAAAUGAGUCUGACUCUCAUCAUUCGGGGCUUUGAACCGCAUAGCCCACCGAGGUAGGAGGCCGACACACAGCAGUCAUCAGGGCACCGUCAAGACAUACGGGCGAAGGCAGCAAUGAGAGUGCACCACCAGCAGGCCGGCACUACACUGAAGCAUACAGCAGGGAGCUCCCAAUACAGUAUACGACUACCUUGGGCUCACCACCCUCAGGUCGCCCCGCCCCGCCCCUGCAGCCUCGCACGCCCCCCACAGAGGACCCGCAGCCGCUCCUCUGUCACCUGGUACUAAGGGCUGGAGUCAGGUCUCGGCCACCUAUGCAAAUUUAGACCCCAGUUUGGUGGAGGUAAUGCUAAUUGUUAUUCAUAGAGACGCUUCGCCACCCUGGGCCGCCUUUCUCUCUCUCUCUCUCU